ACAGCUGUGAUGAGCCGCUAACACGUAAGAAGAAUCCCUAGUUGGGUUUCUUCUGUGAAAUAUACUUGUUACGCUUGGCUUCUGAGCUUC